UACGUAGGGUGCAAGCGUUGUCCGGAAUUAUUGGGCGUAAAGAGCUCGUAGGCGGUUUGUCACGUCGGAUGUGAAAACUCGGGGCUCAACUCCGAGCCUGCAUACGAUACGGGCAGACUUGAGUUCGGCAGGGGAGACUGGAAUUCCUGGUGUAGCGGUGAAAUGCGCAGAUAUCAGGAGGAACACCGGUGGCGAAGGCGGGUCUCUGGGCCGAUACUGACGCUGAGGAGCGAAAGCGUGGGGAGCGAACAGG
rnacentral:rRNA from 1 species